rnacentral:rRNA from 1 species
UACGCACGCUAGCGGCGUGCUUAACACAUGCAAGUCGAACGGAAAGGCCCUGCUUUUGUGGGGUGCUCGAGUGGCGAACGGGUGAGUAACACGUGAGUAACCUGCCCUUGACUUUGGGAUAACUUCAGGAAACUGGGGCUAAUACCGGAUAGGAGCUCCUGCUGCAUGGUGGGGGUUGGAAAGUUUCGGCGGUUGGGGAUGGACUCGCGGCUUAUCAGCUUGUUGGUGGGGUAGUGGCUUACCAAGGCUUUGACGGGUAGCCGGCCUGAGAGGGUGACCGGCCACAUUGGGACUGAGAUACGGCCCAGACUCCUACGGGAGGCAGCAGUGGGGAAUAUUGCACAAUGGGCGGAAGCCUGAUGCAGCAACGCCGCGUGCGGGAUGACGGCCUUCGGUUUGUAAACCGCUUUCGCCUGUGACGAAGCGUGAGUGACGGUAAUGGGUAAAGAAGCACCGGCUAACUACGUG